UUUCCUCUCUCCUUUGUUUUGGUAGAAAUGAAGAUUGGAGAGAAUUAAUAUUCCAUUGUUCAGUGGACAGAUUGACUGGGAGGAGAUGGAAUGGUGGUCUGACAUAGAAUUGGAGGCAGCAUAAAAGGUUGAAUUCUUCUUUCAAUCCUGAGGGGGUCCUGUAACCCACGGGUCACCAGAGAACACGUUCACAAACUAGUUCAUGAGGGCACUGACCAUGAGACAGAUAAAGAAUCCCAACUGUGAACCUGCAUCCUGCUUUCCAUGACCCACCUUUUUAAUGAUUCUGGGUCCCUUGAGGACAAUUAUUAAAGAAAGGAC